CGAAAUGCGAUAAGUAAUGUGAAUUGCAGAAUUCAGUGAACCAUCGAAUCUUUGAACGCAUAUUGCGCCCCCUGGUAUUCCGGGGGGCACGCCUGUCCGAGCGUCAUCCCCCAGUCUUCGGGCCCCAUGGCCCGGUUCUGGUGCCCCACGUUGAGGUGUACCUCCGACGUGGCCCCCAAAUCCAACAGUGGCGGGGUCCCCCAGCCCGAGCGAACAAGGGAUCGUCCCCGCCGAGCUGGGCGACUCCAAGCCCCUUGAACUCCCCCGUCGCAUCGCGCGCCCCUUGACCUCGGAUCAGGCGGGAUUACCCGCUGAACUUAAGC
rnacentral:misc_RNA from 1 species